CUUCGUCAAUCAUCCCAGCACUAUAAUUUUGUUCUUCAAAAUCCCAAAUCAUAACCCAAAUCACAAAAUUGCAACCCAAAUCCUUUAAUUACAUUUAUAUAGAAACCCACGUUGCAAUCCUAAAUCACCAUUGAGAAAUCUACUACAGAACAAGAAGAACAAGUUGAGUUUGUUUAGCUCAAUCAGGAAGGAAAAUUUAAUUGAUAGUUUGCUUGUGGUUAAUUUUGACUAUCAUUAUCUUCUUUCUCCAUUCAACCAUUCAUUAGUAUUGGCAAUAGUUUGACUAUUUUCAUCAUCAUCAUCAUCUUUCCUUUGAUCAACUCUUUAAGCUUGAAAGCUAAUUCAAGGUGAGAAAUUAAAUCUAAAAAGAUUAUAUCCUCCAACUCUUAUUUGGUUAGAGGCUGUCUUUUUAUCUUGUGUAAUUUUAAAGAAUGAAAAUGGUUCACACAAAGGUUUUCUUCAUGAUCUCUUCCGUCUCAUUUCGCUCCCCUUCCUUCUGCUUCUACUUCUUGUGUUGAAGUAAUGAUUUCAAGACCUGAUUUUGAUGUGUAAUGUCAAAGAUGUACGCCUACCUAGCCUACUUAUUUACUAUAUUAAUAUGCAAUAGCAACACAAAUUUGUGGACAUGAGAAUGACCAAAAGUAUCCAUGUCAAUAUUAAGUUGUUGUAAACCACCCCAUGCAUGUUAAAUAUAGAAUACUUGUAAUUAUGAUUCAAUCA